GGCCACUGUAAAACUGCGCGAUCCUAAUCUCGACCCAUAGGACGCUUUAGGUUCUAACCGGCGUUCGCUAGAAAGAUUUCGAAUUAAUCUACAUCUAAAUAAGCUAAGUAGCAAUAUUAGGCCACCGCUCGUGUUUUCAUUGAAUUUUUCAAAGAAGCCAACGUUUCUGUCCGAGCUUGAAGCUAAACGUGCCAGCUACUAGUAAUAUCUUAGCUGAAUUUAACUCGUACUACGAAGGAGCAUACUGCAAUGUCAAAUCACCGUUCACACUACUCAAGUCGGAACGAUUGGGCGAAAGAACGAAGUACUAUCAUUGCAUUGAUGGGGCUAUGGUCGCGGUUAUCUGUCCUACAGAUAAACCCGCGCUACAGGACAUGUGCGAUGGCUAUGCGAAACACUGCUGGCGGUAUUUGGCCUUUGAUAGGAGCAUGACCCACGAACAGAUCAACAAUAAUGCCUAUGACUACUACACAUGCCUUGGAAAGAUCCCGCAGGGGUCCUAGG